AGAGUUUGAUCAUGGCUCAGGAUCAACGCUGGCGGCGUGCCUAACGCAUGUAAGUCGAACGCAGGAGCCUUCGGGCUCUUGAGUGGCGAACGGCUGAGGAACACGUACGAACCUGCCCGCUUGUGGGGAAUAACCCACCGAAAGGUGUGCUAAUACCGCGUACGCUCAUCCUUUAGGGGAUGAGGAAAGCCGUGAGGCGCAGGCGGAGGGGCGUGCGGCCCAUCAGGUCGUUGGUGGGGUAAUGGCCUACCAAGCCGAUGACGGGUAGCUGGUCUGUGAGGACGAUCAGCCAGACUGGGACUGCGAAACGGCCCAGACACCUACGGGUGGCAGCAGCGAGGAAUCUUCCACAAUGGGCGAAAGCCCGAUGGAGCAACGCCGCGUGGAGGACGACGGCCUUCGGGUUGUAAACUCCUUUCGGGGGGGAUGAGACGGACAGUACCCCCAGAAGAAGCCCCGGCUAACUCUGUGCCAGCAGCCGCGGUAAUACAGAGGGGGCAAGCGUUGUCCGGAUUUACUGGGCGUACAGCGCGCGCAGGCGGAACUGGACGUGCCGUGUGACAAGCCACCGCUCACCGGUGGAGGGCCACGGUACACGACAGCUCUGGAGGCAGGGAGAGGGAUGUGGAAUGCCCGGUGGAGCGGUGAAAUGCGUAGAGAUCGGGCGGAACACCAGCGGCGAAGGCGGCAUCCUGGUCCUGACCUGACGCUGAGGCGCGAGAGCGUGGGGAGCAAACUGGAUUAGAUACCCUAGUAGUCC
rnacentral:rRNA from 1 species